rnacentral:rRNA from 1 species
AUUGAACGCUGGCGGCAUGCUUUACACAUGCAAGUCGAACGGUAACAGGCCGCAAGGUGCUGACGAGUGGCGAACGGGUGAGUAAUGCAUCGGAACGUGCCCAGUCGUGGGGGAUAACGCAGCGAAAGCUGUGCUAAUACCGCAUACGAUCUAAGGAUGAAAGCGGGGGACCGUAAGCCCUCGCGCGAUUGGAGCGGCCGAUGUCAGAUUAGGUAGUUGGUGGGGUAAAGGCCCACCAAGCCAACGAUCUGUAGCUGGUCUGAGAGGACGACCAGCCACACUGGGACUGAGACACGGCCCAGACUCCUACGGGAGGCAGCAGUGGGGAAUUUUGGACAAUGGGCGCAAGCCUGAUCCAGCAAUGCCGCGUGCAGGAAGAAGGCCUUCGGGUUGUAAACUGCUUUUGUACGGAACGAAACGGUCUGGGUUAAUACCCUGGGCUAAUGACGGUACCGUAAGAAUAAGCACCGGCUAACUACGUGCCAGCCGCCGCCAUAACAC